rnacentral:rRNA from 1 species
AGCGCAGGCGGUUCGGCCAGUCCAAAGUGAAAUCCCGGGGCUCAACCUCGGACGUGCUUUGGAUACUACCGAACUUGAGUACGUGAGAGGAGAGCGGAAUUCCAGGUGUAGCGGUGAAAUGCGUAGAUAUCUGGAGGAACACCGGUGGCGAAAGCGGCUCUCUGGCGCGAAACUGACGCUGAGGCUCGAAAGCGUGGGGAGCGAACG